UGCGCUCAGAUUGACAGGAAGUGGGUUGCCCAAAGUGUUGGCACGAGAUACUCGCGAGCGGAGCGGUUUAAGCAGUGCUCGCGCACUAAGUAGCACCACACAGUACACAGACGCAUCACGCGCUCGGUUUUCUCUCUAUUUCAUCCCUCCAGUCAAUGUUUUUCUUUUCUUUUCUUUAUCAACCUGUUUGCUGUCGGUACGAGUUGUUACGGUAAACGUGUAACACCAGUUUUGUUUAAAUAUCAGAUUUAUUUUUCUUCAGAUACCAGGAACUUCUGACUGGUCACCAACCAGAGUACCAAGGAUGCGCGCGAAUACUCUGUCGAAGGAGAUGGUCAACACCAAUGCUUACACAAGUUCCUUCCACGUUUUCCACACUGUUUUUUGUUUAGUUUUGUCGGUAUUUUUGGUGGUAUUUUGUGUCGUCAUAACCUUAAGGACGUCUCACCUGGAGCACAGAAUGCAGUUUCUGGAAAGCGAGCGCGUUUCUGUCCUGAGCUCUGCACCUCCAUCACUGCAGGCUGCUAACCUCUCUCUGUGGGAUGCGAUAGAAAAACUCGUCCAUAAGAGACUCAUGGAGGAAGUGCCUAAACUCCGAACACCGAGGGAAGUAGGUCAAGAGUGCUCUUGCCCACCAGGACCCCCAGGUAGACGUGGAAGAAAAGGGAAUCCUGGUGAGUAUUUAUUUCCUUAAUAAUAAUAAUAAUAAUAAUAAUAACCUUUAAACCUAAAAAGAGUUUAAAUUGAUUUCAGUUGUGUUCCAAUAAAAAAAAUUUUUAUUAAAAAAGUCUCAUCCCUUAUGCCAUGUCUUCAUGUUUGCUCAAUAUUCUUUUUAUUCUUUUUUUGUUUGUUUUUUUGGUCAUAGGCUUCUUGUCUUGUUAGUUUGUAGAGCAUCUGUUUAGAACAUAUGUAAAGUCUGUGCACAUUUGAGGUUUCUUUACACUGUAGUCAUGGUAAGAUUUCUAUCAGGUUUAUCAUAUGGGGUCACAUAACAUAGAGAAUUAACCUAUACAUUUCCAAACCUUAAAGUUUACUGCCCAGUACCUACAUUAAAAAUAUUGCACAAUGAUGAAACUAAUAUUAUGUUAUAAGUCUGAGGUGAGGUGUAGAAACAUCCAUGUUUCCUUAAGGUUUAAGAGUCAAUGCUUCAGUAUCUAUCCUAGCAAUGUGCUAUACAGAAGCUACUCAACAUACAAUACAUCACUGUAACAAUUUGCAUCCAUGAUGGCUGGAUGAAGGGAUGAGUGGGUCAAUGACUAGAUAGAUAGAUGGAUUGUGGAUUGAUGAAGGGAUGGAUGAAUGGAUGGGUGGGUGGUUGUAUGGAUGAUGAAUGGUUGGAGGGAUUGAUGGGUAAACAGAUGGCUGGUUGUAUGGAUGGAUGAAUGGAUUGUGGAUUGAUGGACUAAUGGAUGGAUGAAGGGAUGAGUGGGUGUAUGAAUAGAUGAAUAGAUUGUGGAUUGAUGGAUGAAUGAGUGAGUUGUUGGAAUAAUGGAUGGGUGGUUGUAUGGAUGGAUGAACGGAUGGGUGGUUAUAUGGAUGAUGAAUGGUUAGAUGGAUGAAUGGAUUGUGGAUUGAUGCACUAAUGGAUGGAUCAAGGGAUGAGUGGAUGUAUGAAUAGAUGAAUAGAUUGUGGAUUGAUGGAUGGAUAAAUGAGUGAGUUGGUGGAAUAAUGGAUGGCUGACUGGAUGGAUGGAGGAACGGAUGGGUGGUUGUAUGGAUGGAUGAAUGCAUGACCUUUCAAUGCAUGACAAAAAAUAUCAGUUAUAGUUAUGAAUUUUUCCGCACAGUUGAAAAAAAAACCUUACAGUUGAUCCCAGAGUUUUCAAUAAAAAGCUGGUUUUCAGGAAAUACAGAGAAAAAACAUAUUAUACAUAUCAUAAUGAGUAUUCUAGCUAUAAUUUAAUGUAUUUGUAGCAUAAAAGAAAAGGAAGUGUGCAUUUUUAUUAUUUUAUUACUGACAACAUCCAUUAACAGGGGUCAAAUCACAGACGAGCAAAUCAGAAACUACAUGAUUAGAGGAAAACAAGGAACAGAGAAAGACGAUUCAAAGAACCGCAGCUUAGUCUUACAGUUAUACAUAUGCAUGACUUUGUAACUAAACUCUAGAAACAUAACAAGACUAAUCAUGAGCAGCUAACAUAUAGCUCAGGAAGAUAAUGGUGAUGAAAGGAAAUGUGCAACAUGAGUCCAGAACAGGAGUGAGGCAAUGAAGAAAAAAAUGAAAAGUACAUAUUAAGUAAUAAAAAGGUGAAGACGGUAGGAGGUUGUAAAUUUGUUUUAGUAAAACCACAAAGGACUUUCACAUAUUUUUAAAAUAAUUAAUUACAGAGGCAAGUUUCAGAAUUCACCCAUGCACAUGUGUGAAGCUGUUUCUAUAUUUAUGACUUCAUUUUAUCAGUGUGCAUCAGAUCAAAGUACAAUUUUUAUAACUCCCUGUCAGACGGUAGCUUUUUCCUGGAUGGGCUCCACAUUUUUUCACCUGACUGUUGAUUAAUUUAUGGAUGAAAGGUGCUUCUGUUAAAUCUCAUAGUAAGACUCAGCUGCUGCUUUUAAUAGUGUUGCUGCAACACUCAACUGCAUGCACCUAUUUUAUGUAUGAUACAGUGCCAUGAACUGCAUUACCUCUGAAUUCUGCAUGUCAAAACAGAUAAGCGAUUGGAUGGAUGGAUAGAUGAUUGGAUGAUCGAAUAGGUGGUUGGCUAGAUGCAUGAAGGGUUGGACGAAUGGAGGGAUGGACGGCUGUGUAAAUGGAUGCAUUGCGUGAAUGAGUGAAUAGGUGAUGGAUGGAUUCUUGGAUGAUGAUAGACGGGUGGGUGGAUGCAGGGAUGGAUGGAUUGUGGAAUGGGAUACUGAUAAAAGGAUGAUUGAGUGUAUGAACUGCUGGAUGGAUGCAGGAAUAAAUAGUUUAAUGGAUGGGUAGAUGGAUGAAUGGAUGGAAGGAUUGUGGAUUGAUUGAUGAAGGAAUGAAUGGAUGGGUGGUUGAAUGAACGGAUGAAUGUUUGGAUGGAUGAACAGAUAGGUGAAUGGUUGGAUGGAUGGAUUGUGGAUUAAUGGAUAGAUGAAGGGAUGGAUGAUAGAUGGAUAGAUUGAGGCAUGGAUGAAGGGAUGAGUGGGUAGAUAAAUAAAUGGAUAGAUGGAUGAAUUGUCGGUUGAUGGAUUGAGGACAGCAUGAAUUGAUGAAUGGGUGGAUGGAAAUUAACUUUUUUUAAUUUUACUUACUACACAUAUUUACACAGUGCAGAAGUAUCAGUACACAAGAAAAAAAAGCAGUAACACAUCAUCACUGUGUGUGUGUUUAUGGCAUGUGAGGUAUUGGAUUAAUGUGUAAUGUGUGCAGUAUGAGAUAAUGAGAUAUGGUAGGUGAGAUAAUGGAGAGUCAACACCUGCAAGCAUUAGAAAAAACAACAUGGGAUAUACAUCAUCAAAGACCACAGUCACAAACACAUGCUUUGGUGGAUGAAGGGAGAAGAAAUGUGUCUUUGUUCUCAGUUUGAUGACUUUGGCCCAUGGUGACGACGGGAGGACUUACAGCCUCCAAAACACUCAGCCUGCUCUCCAUAAAAAGCUCCCCUUCAGUGGCCCAGUGCUCUGGGUGACCUGAACUGACACAGUGGGAUCUUUCUUACAUUUCUCUAUCUUCUAAUCACUCAUUCAUUAUUCUCACCAUGGUAGAGAUGGAUCGGGUUUCCCACAUGGCUGAGUGACAGCACACCCUUUAAAAGAGACCUUAUCAGUGCAGCCAUUUGUAGGAGUUCUUGUUUGUUUACGCUGUGCUCUGAUCCUGUCCAGAUCAGCUCAAGACCUUUUGCAGUUCUGCAUACGAGUCAAACUCCAUUUUCUGUCAGAUUCUCCAGCUAUCAUCUCUCUGGAGUCACCAGAGCUUUGCCAGUAUCUGCCUAAACCAUUAUGCUUAGUGU